rnacentral:tRNA from 1 species
ACCUGGGUGGCUUAAUUCGUUAAGCCUCUGACUUUGACUCAGGUAAUGAUCUCACAGUUUGUAUGUUCGAAUCCCACAUCAGGUG